GCCAAACUUGCCGGCUACCAGAACCACGGACUCAGGCUUCCGGAAACUGGAAAAGCACAGCUGCGGCCAGUCUUCCAGGAGUCCAGAGGGGGCAAAAGACAAAGUGUGGAAGGGGAGGCUUCUUGCAGGAGAGACACUAGCCACUGGCCACUGGCCACAGGUCACUUGGGAGGAGCCAGGCACCCUGUGAGAGGUGCUCAGGUUGCACAGGGGUCCAGUCCCAAGGAGCCCAAAUGCCAUUAAAGGCCUUGCUCAGAAGUCAGACCCAAACUCAAGACUCAUUCCUGCCAGCUUGUGUUGCUGAGGAAGUGAUUUAACUUUUUCUGAGCUUUGAUCUCCUCACUCCCAAGGUGGAAAAAAUCCUAGAGCCCUCUGCAAGGGACUGUGGUCAGACUUCAACAAGAUAGUAGAGUACAGACUUAAUUCUGUACAUGUCUUAGCAGUGUCUGGGAUUAUUAAUGAGUGCAGACUUAAUUCUGGGAAAAAUGGAGUUUAAAGCAAAUGAGUAAUAGUCAGUUUGGGAAAGGAUGAAGAGAAAGCACCCCAGCCAUUUACUGAACAAAUUAUUCAUUAUUUAAUAACACCAAGUAUGAGGCAGGUUCCAGGCUUUGGGGCAGAGUAACAAGGCUGAUGAGACAGGGGCACUCAGCCCCACAGGGAAGACUGUGCCCUCACAGGUUGGCAAGGGCCAGAGGAACCUCCUGGGGAGGGGAAUGGGAGGUGUUAAGGAGGAAGCCAGCAACCUGACUGGCAGAGGAUGGGAAAGCGGUCUGAACAAAGAUGGGACUGGACACGAAGUCAACUUCACUCGGAAGGUGAAGGAUCGAGAUGGGUGCAGGAGGAAGUGCAAAGAGUUGUAACUGAGUCCCGAGGAACAGGCAGUGGGAACCCAGCAAAGAUGUGUUGCGUGGCUGGGCGGCAAGUGCAGGAAUGGGGGAGAUCCACAGAGCUGGGGGAGA
rnacentral:lncRNA from 1 species